CAUAUAUAGGAAUGUACUGGAUGAUGUUUAUGAAUAUCCAAUACUUGAAAAAGAAUUGAAAGAAUUUCAAAAGAUACUUGGAAUGCACCGUCGUCACACUGUAGAUGAAUAUUCACCACAAAAAAAGAAUAAAGCCCUUUUCCACCAAUUCAGUCUUAAGGAGAACUGGCUCCAGCAUAGAGGAACUGUGACUGAAACGGAGGAAAGUGAGUAUGGUUUGAAGUGAGGGUUUGGGGGUGGGUAGCAGUUAGCCACCAUUUUUCUCCUA
rnacentral:lncRNA from 1 species